rnacentral:rRNA from 1 species
AGAGUUUGAUCAUGGCUCAGGAUGAACGCUAGCGACAGGCCUAACACAUGCAAGUCGAGGGGUAACAGGGGCUUCGGCCCGCUGACGACCGGCGCACGGGUGAGUAUCGCGUAUGCAACCUGCCUGUAACAGCGGGAUAGCUCCCUGAAAGAGGAAUUAACACCGCAUAAGACCACGCUCUCGCAUGGGGACGGGGUAAAAUAUUUAUAGGUUACAGAUGGGCAUGCGUGACAUUAGUUAGUUGGUGAGGUAACGGCUCACCAAGACUGCGAUGUCUAGGGGUUCUGAGAGGAAGGUCCCCCACACUGGAAUUGAGACACGGUCCAGACUCCUACGGGAGGCAGCAGUGAGGAAUAUUGGUCAAUGGACGCAAGUCUGAACCAGCCAUGUCGCGUGCAGGAUGACUGCCCUAUGGGUUGUAAACUGCUUUUAUAUUGGAAGAAUUGCGCUUACGAGUUAAGCGUUUGACGGUACAUUAUGAAUAAGGAUCGGCUAACUCCGUGCCAGCAGCCGCGGUAAUACGGAGGACCCGAGCGUUAUCCGGAUUUAUUGGGUUUAAAGGGUGCGUAGGCGGAAAUGUAAGUCAGUGGUGAAAUCCUGCAGCUUAACUGUAGAAUAGCCGUUGAAACUGUGUUUCUUGAGUACAUUUGAGGUAGGCGGAAUGUGGUGUGUAGCGGUGAAAUGCAUAGAUAUACCACAGAACACCGAUUGCGAAGGCAGCUUACUAAACUGUCACUGACGCUGAUGCACGAAAGGCGUGGGUAUCAAACAGGAUUAGAUACCCUGGUAGUCCACGCUGUAAACGAUGAUUACUGGUUGUUUGCGAUACACUGCAAGUGACUGAGCGAAAGCAUUAAGUAAUCCACCUGGGGAGUACGUCGGCAACGAUGAAACUCAAAGGAAUUGACGG